rnacentral:misc_RNA from 1 species
GAUGAAGAACGUAGCGAAAUGCGAUAAGUAAUGCGAAUUGCAGAAUCCGUGAGUCAUCGAAUCUUUGAACGCACAUUGCGCCCUCUGGUAUUCCGGAGGGCAUGCCUGUUCGAGCGUCAUUAUCACCCCUCAAGCCCGGCUUGCUGUUGGAUGCAGCGCUUAUCCCGCUCCUCCCAAAGAUAAUGAUGGCGUCUGCGACGACUCCUGUACACUGAGCUUUCGGGCACGUACACGGCCAGAAGUCCAGACCCGGUCGCCGUCCCCCUAGCGGGGACACCCAUUACCACAAGGUUGACCUCGGAUCAGGUAGGAAUACCCGCUGAACUUAAGCAUAUCAAUAAGCGGAGGA